rnacentral:antisense_RNA from 1 species
CUUGAUCGAGCCGAGCAGCAGGGGCUGGUCGGCGGGGCGCUGCUGCCCGUAGGUGGCGAGCAGGGCCUGGGCUUC